rnacentral:rRNA from 1 species
CAGUCUCUGACUCCUAGAGAUAGGACGUUCCCCUUCGGGGGACAGAGUGACAGGUGGUGCAUGGUUGUCGUCAGCUCGUGUCGUGAGAUGUUGGGUUAAGUCCCGCAACGAGCGCAACCCUUGAUCUUAGUUGCCAGCAUUCAGUUGGGCACUCUAAGGUGACUGCCGGUGACAAACCGGAGGAAGGUGGGGAUGACGUCAAAUCAUCAUGCCCCUUAUGACCUGGGCUACACACGUGCUACAAUGGAUGGUACAAAGGGCUGCAAGACCGCGAGGUUUAGCCAAUCCCAUAAAACCAUUCUCAGUUCGGAUUGCAGGCUGCAACUCGCCUGCAUGAAGCCGGAAUCGCUAGUAAUCGCGGAUCAGCAUGCCGCGGUGAAUACGUUCCCGGGCCUGUAACCCCCACCGAA